ACUUACAUUCACGGCUGGUUGUUGGGCAUCAAGACAAUCUGGAAGGAUCCAAGAAACCGGAACUUCUCCCUGGAGAGACACAAAUGGCAGGCAGUUUCCUCACAGCAAUGCCGAGACCGCUGUUCUGGAGUCAGAAGACCAGAGUUCAAAUCCUAAGCUCCCAUUGGCAAAUUAGCAGAUUGGUGCUCAGGGGCAGAAGCUGCCAGAAGUGGACACGAUAAGGAAGAGAGAAACACUGUAUGAACCGUCCGCUGGGAAACCUCCGCGGUCUGGGGCCCUCUGGUGCAGGGACUAACAACCGUAUUUACCCCACUACCCACUACAU